rnacentral:rRNA from 1 species
GACGAACGCUGGCGGCGUGCUUAACACAUGCAAGUCGAACGGAGUCCAUCUGUUAGCAAUAACAGGGAAGACUGAGUGGCGAACGGGUGAGUAACACGUGAGAAACCUGUCCCGGUCUCUGGGAUAACAGUCGGAAACAACUGCUAAUACCGGAUGACGUCGGAGCAUCGCAUGGUGCGCUGACGAAAGGGUUACUGGAUCGGGAGGGUCUCGCGGCCUAUCAGCUAGUUGGUGGGGUAAUGGCCUACCAAGGCAUCGACGGGUAGCUGGUCUGAGAGGAUGAUCAGCCACACUGGGACUGAGACACGGCCCAGACUCCUACGGGAGGCAG